rnacentral:rRNA from 1 species
CAAUAGCGUAUAUUUAAGUUGUUGCAGUUAAAAAGCUCGUAGUUGGAUUUCUGCUGAUCGCUGUCGGUCUGCCGUCAGGUGUGUACUGGCAGUGUUUGGCAUCUAUUCGAGAUUGGGUGUCCACUUGAUUGUGUGCACUCGAUGUCGGAGCUAAUACUUUGAGAAAAUUAGAGUGUUCCACGCAGGGGCGUGCCUUGAAUACUGCAGCAUGGGAUAUUGGAAGGCCGAUUGAGCUUUCUUGUUGGUUCUCGGUUUGAUCGGAAUGAUUAAUAGGGAUAGUUGGGGGCAUUCGUAUUCAACUGUCAGAGGUGAAAUUCUUGGAUUUGUUGAAGACGGACUACUGCGAAAGCAUCUGCCAUGGAUGUUCUCAUUGA